GCUACCAUGAUAUAGUGGAUAUAGUGUUGGAGUACAACUCUGGAGAUCAGGGUUCAAUUCCCUGCUUGAGCA